AAUCAACGCUGGCGGCGUGCCUAACACAUGCAAGUCGAACGCGAGAGGGCUUCGGCCCGAUUGAGUGGCGAACGGGUGAGUAACGCGUGGGUGACCUACCUUCGAGUGGGGAUAACGUCCCGAAAGGACGCUAAUACCGCAUAACAUCCUGCUUUUGAAUGGGUGGAGAUCAAAGCCGGGAUCGCAAGACCUGGCGCUUGAUGAGGGGCCCGCGUCUGAUUAGCUAGUUGGGAGGUAACGGCCCACCAAGGCAACGAUCAGUAUCCGGCCUGAGAGGGCGGACGGGACACACUGGGACUCGAGACACGGCCCAGACUCCUACGGGAGGCAGCAGUGGGGAAUUGUUCGCAAUGGGCGCAAGCCUGACGACGCAACGCCGCGUGGAGGAUGAAGGUCUUCGGAUUGUAAACUCCUGUUGCCCGGGACGAAUGGCUCCGACCUAACACGU
rnacentral:rRNA from 1 species